rnacentral:tRNA from 1 species
UUGAUAGAAGCCAAAAAGAGGCAUAUUACCGUUAAUAAUAUAAUUGAAUUUCAAUAUUUCCUAUCAAG